UACGUAGGGUGCGAGCGUUAAUCGGAAUUACUGGGCGUAAAGCGUGCGUAGGCGGCUGUUUAAGUCUGGUGUUAAAGCUAGGGGCUCAACCCCUGUGGUGCAUCGGAUACUGGGCAGCUUGAGUGCGGUAGGGGAAGGUGGAAUUCCGAGUGUAGCGGUGAAAUGCGUAGAUAUUCGGAAGAACACCGGUGGCGAAGGCGACCUUCUGGGCCGCAACUGACGCUGAGGCACGAAAGCCUGGGGAGCGAACGGG
rnacentral:rRNA from 1 species